CCAUGCGAUCAACCUUCGUAAACACAGGAAGUGUGGCUUAUGUAUUGACACCGUGCAGCUGGUGCACAUUAUAGCUGGGAUCAACCUCAUUCUCAGGUGAAGCAAAUCUUGUAAUAGAUCUCACUCAGUCAUGUCACCCAUACCAGAUUCCCGUGAGAGCACAUGUCAUGCAAAAUACCCUGCUGGGCCGUCCUACCUGUAUAGCAACUGCUUUAAGUAGAGGGCUUUAAAUUACGUGCCAGAUCGAUACAAUUUCAAGUGGCCUUGACCUACUCAAACCUUUACCUUCGAUACAAUGACGAAUGCUAGAGGGUCCUAGACGCUACAGAGUGCAGUUAUCUGAAUAAUAUAGCAUGUCAAGGUUCUAAGUCGUGCAGCCAUACAUUAUUCUUGUUGUGACCCGUUGCCUCUCGAUAUACAACCUGUUACACGUUGUGCAUAUGCAGCGCAGUAUGCAUGGAUGACAUGACCCGGGCGGGGAAGCAGCAGAUGACGGGAUCUACUGGUGGGAUUCACUGAAAGUGUUCUUAUAAUAAAGGACAUUUUUUUCAUUUCUUGACAAAUGAGCGAGACAGACAUUUCCCAUUUGAUGUGCACCAGUGGAAGUCGCUUUAAGGGCGAGUCAUUGUGUGAGGAUGGAGACCAGGUGGACCAGGUGGACGGUGAGGGCACUCCAACACUCUCACUUGAGUGUCGGGAUCUGGGGGUGAAGGAGCUGCAGCAUAUGCUGUGUGUGUCGGGGGUGGACUACGACCAGAUGGCCAGGCUGGUGGAGAACGUGCUCACGAGGAGACAGUGACAGUCGAGGGAGCCAGAAACCAUCACAGGAGCCAGUGACAGUCAAGGGAGUCAGAAACCAUCAAAGGAGCCAGUGACAGUCAAGGGAGUCAGAAACCAUCACAGGAGCCAGUGACAGUCAAGGGAGUCAGAAACCAUCACAGGAGCCAGUGACAGUCGAGGGAGUCAGAAACCAUCACAGGAGCCAGUGACAGUCAAGGGAGUCAGAAACCAUCAAAGGAGCCAGUGACAGUCAAGGGAGUCAGAAACCAUCACAGGAGCCAGUGACAGUCAAGGGAGUCAGAAACCAUCAAAGGAGCCAGUGACAGUCAAGGGAGUCAGAAACCAUCACAGGAGCCAGUGACAGUCAAGGGAGUCAGAAACCAUCAAAGGAGCCAGUGACAGUCAAGGGAGUCAGAAACCAUCACAGGAGCCAGUGACAGUCAAGGGAGUCAGAAACCAUCACAGGAGCCAGUGACAGUCAAGGGAGUCAGAAACCAUCACAGGAGACAGUGACAGUCAAGGGAGUCAGAAACCAUCACAGGAGCCAGUGACAGUCGAGGGAGUCAGAAACCAUCACAGGAGCCAGUGACAGUCGAGGGAGUCAGAAACCAUCACAGGAGCCAGUGACAGUCAAGGGAGUCAGAAACCAUCACAGGAGCCAGUGACAGUCGAGGGAGUCAGAAACCAUCACAGGAGACAGUGACAGUCAAGGGAGUCAGAAACCAUCACAGGAGCCAGUGACAGUCGAGGGAGUCAGAAACCAUCACAGGAGACAGGGAAAAUAAAGAAACAUAACCUUGAACUUCUCUCCACCAACAAACUUGGUCCGCUCAAUUACUUCACACAGACAACCGUUUGCACAUCAGUCCCGAUAUAUGUUCUUGUAAACUUAAGUCUGAAAUGAUUAUAGCUUUCGAUAUGAAACUAAUUAGAAAGCCUGGACCUAGAUUGGGUAUUAUUAGAAGACAUAACUACAUUUAAGCAUUUUGGAGCCUGUUAUUUUUCGGAUAUUCGAGCAUGUCAAGGAACCACUAUGGUCUCUACAGGAACAAUAAACCUUCACAUUCAGGUAGGAAAGGGAACACAUGUCGUUACAAACAUAGCCGUGGACACCCUGCUGAGUGGAACAAUGGAUCAGAGCCCAAGGGAUGAUGUGUUGAGGCAGUACCCUGUAUAUGUUGUGACAGAAACACUGAGUCGGUACCCCGUGGAUGGUGUUAUAUACGCUGAGACGGUACACAGGGGAUGAUGUGAGAAACUUUGAGGCAGUAUCCUGCGGAUGAUGUGAGAUACAACAAGGCAGUGCCCUGUGGAUGGCGUUAGAAACACUGAGACGGUACGUGUGGAUGAUGUGAGAUACAAUGAGGCAGUACCCUGUGGAUGAUGUGAGAUGCAAUGAGGCAGUACCCUGUGGAUGAUGUGAGAUGCAAUGAUGCAGUACCCUGUAGAUGAUGUGAGAUGCAAUGAGGCAGUACCCUGUAGAUGAUGUGAAAUGCAAUGAGGCAGUACCCUGUGGAUGAUGUGAGAUGCAAUGAGGCAGUACCCUAUGGAUGAUGUGAGAUGCAAUGAUGCAGUACCCUGUGGAUGAUGUGAGAUGCAAUGAGGCAGUACCCUGUGGAUGAUGUGAGAUGCAAUGAGGCAGUACCCUGUGGACGAUGUGAGAUGCAAUGAGGCAGUACCCUGUGGACGAUGUGAGCUGCAAUGAGGCAGAACCCUGUGGAUGAUGUGAGAUGCAAUGAGGCAGUACCCUGUGGAUGAUGUGAGAUGCAAUGAGGCAGUACCCUGUGGAUGAUGUGAGAUGCAAUGAGGCAGUACCCUGUGGAUGAUGUGAGAUGCAAUGAUGCAGUCCAAGGGAGCUGAUUUGAGUAACACUGUGCUGAUACAGGCAAGAGUAACAAGAGCAGUGAUUAUUGUUGCCAGGUAGAACUGAGAGAGAAACAGGUCUUCAAAACACACGUUAAACCGAGUUUUGGUUUAUAAAUUCCCGUGCAUCUUCCCUACGCAAGUGAGUUAACUGACCAUAAAAGUCCAGUUUCCAUUGACUUUUAUAGUCAGUUAAAGCCCUUGGCCCUGGAAGAUGAGGCCCGUGUGACCCAAGAGCAACUAAUACUAACACUAAAACGUGUCUCGUGCAUAAACAAUUGGGACACGAUUGUCCAACAGAUAUAUGCGAAAGUCUCGGACAAUUCGACAAGAAGCGGUAAUUUCUCCGAACAUAUCCCAUGUCCACAAAAACACAGCGACGUCAUUGAGUAUAUACUUGGUCCUCCUGUGUCUGGUAACACUGUAGCAUCCAGCUGCUGAAGGAGCUACUCACACUGAUGGGGAUGACGAGAUAGAGUUUAACCACUCGGCGCCAGGGCAGUGUUGUCCCAUUUUGUCAAAAUGACAAGCCGGGUUCGAAAUGGAUGUCAAACUUUGUGUUCAGGACAUUUUUGUUUGUUUACGACAUUGUCCCUUACCGGUGUGUUUAAUAUCUUCAUUUUUAUUUUAAUACGUGGUGUAAGUUGUCAGUGUUUCAAACUGUGUCGUGUCUGCUUUGUGGAGGACAGGGAACAUGGAGUGUGAAAUAAAACUAUACAACUGAAAAGGAACUAUCCAUCGGUA